rnacentral:tRNA from 1 species
AAAAAKAUAAGCUAACUAAGCUAAUGGGCUCAUAAUCCAUGUAUAAAAAUUUCAAUUUUUUUCUUUUUA